AUUCGUACUGAAGGUUAUUAAAUGUUUAUCUACAAACCUUUUCAAACGGAAAGUCAUUAGUGUUAUCAUAUAACAAGCUACGAUAUCAAUCUCAUUACUUUAUUUACAGACCUCGUACAUUAUAUACAUUUGUCUCACAAAUCGCAAAUCGAAACAAAAAAUGAUGGCACUUCAUAUUAUGUAUACCAACCUGCGCUCAGAAUCGUCUUUCGGCAAGCAAUGGUUUAUCGUUGCUUACAUAUAUAAAUGAAAUAACCUUAUGUGUCCUAUCUUCCCAACUUCUCACCUACAACAGUGGCCGCUCCCAUCGCCAGUAUCAUUUUUUUUUCUCUUUCAUUCUGUAUUCUGGGAUCCACCUGUAUUAAUAAUAUUAAAUAAAUAAAUUAUUGGAACUCCGCCCGAAUGACAUUUUUAUCGUUAUAAGCAAACGAAUUGAUCAGAAUUGAAGACGAAUUGAAAGACGUAUACUUUUGAGUGAGUGUUAGUCAGGAUUAAAGGCAAACGAUUGAAUGGCUGCGAACAACGCCGUCGUAACGAUAAUAUUUUGUUUGGAGGCCCGCGAAACGGAACGCGUUUCGAUAAGUAUCGAUAAUAUUAAUAAUAAUAUUUAUUGGCCGUGUGUAAAUAGAGUUAAGUAAAAUAACAAUAAAAAAAUACCUAAUGAAUAUGCU